rnacentral:rRNA from 1 species
AUUGAACGCUGGCGGCAGGCCUAACACAUGCAAGUCGAGCGGAUGAGGAAAGCUUGCUUUUCGAUUCAGCGGCGGACGGGUGAGUAAUGCCUAGGAAUGUGCCUGUUAGUGGGGGAUAACUCGGGGAAACUCGGGCUAAUACCGCAUACGUCCUACGGGAGAAAGUGGGGGAUCGUCGGACCUCACGCUAACAGAUUAGCCUAGGUCGGAUUAGCUAGUAGGUGAGGUAAUGGCUCACCUAGGCGACGAUCCGUAACUGGUCUGAGAGGAUGAUCAGUCACACUGGAACUGAGACACGGUCCAGACUCCUACGGGAGGCAGCAGUGGGGAAUAUUGGACAAUGGGCGAAAGCCUGAUCCAGCCAUGCCGCGUGUGUGAAGAAGGUCUUCGGAUUGUAAAGCACUUUAAGUUGGGAGGAAGGGUAUUCACCUAAUACGUGGGUACUUUGACGUUACCAACAGAAUAAGCACCGGCUAACUCUGUGCCAGCAGCCGCCGUAAUAC